UACAGAGGGUGCAAGCGUUAAUCGGAAUUACUGGGCGUAAAGCGCACGCAGGCGGAUAAGUAAGUUGGAUGUGAAAUCCCCGAGCUUAACUUGGGAAUGGCAUACAAAACUGCUUGUCUUGAGUAUGGUAGAGGAGAGUGGAAUUUCCGGUGUAGCGGUGAAAUGCGUAGAUAUCGGAAAGAACAUCAGUGGCGAAGGCGACUCUCUGGACCAAUACUGACGCUCAUGUGCGAAAGCGUGGGGAGCAAACAGG
rnacentral:misc_RNA from 1 species